GUCUUUUUGAGUUAUUUUUAAAGUCUGACCUGCCCACUGAAAUUUUUAAAUGGCCGCAGUAUUCUAACUGUGCAAAGGUAGCAUAAUCAUUAGUCUUUUAAUUGAAGGCUGGUAUGAACGGUUGGACGAGGUAUAAGCUGUUUCAUAUAAAUUUAUAAUAGAAUUUUAUAUUUUAGUCAAAAAGCUAAAAUAUUAUUAAAAGACGAGAAGACCCUAUAAAUCUUUAUAUUUUUUUUUAUUUAAAUUUUUUGGAUUUAUUUUAUUUUUAUAAUGGAGAAUAUUUUGUUGGGGUGAUGUUAAAAUUUAAUGAACUUUUAAUUAUAAAAAUCAUUAAUUUAUGAGUUAUUGAUCCAUUAGUAGUGAUUAUAAGAUUAAGUUACUUUAGGGAUAACAGCGUAAUUUUUUUGGAGAGUUCAUAUCGAUAAAAAAGUUUGCGACCUCGAUGUUGGAUUAAGAUAUAAUUUUAGGUGUAGCCGCUUAAAUGCUAAGUCUGUUCGACUUUUAAAUUCUU
rnacentral:rRNA from 1 species